rnacentral:rRNA from 1 species
AUUAAACGCUGGCGGCAUGCCUUACACAUGCAAGUCGAACGGCAGCACGGGGGCAACCCUGGGUGGCGAGUGGCGGACGGGUGAGUAAAGCAUCGGAACGUAUCCUGGAGUGGGGGGAUAACGUAGCGAAAGUUACGCUAAUACCGCAUAUUCUGUGAGCAGGAAAGCAGGGGAUCGCAAGACCUUGCGCUCUGGGAGCGGCCGAUGUCGGAUUAGCUAGUUGGUGGGGUAAAGGCCUACCAAGGCGACGAUCCGUAGCGGGUCUGAGAGGAUGAUCCGCCACACUGGGACUGAGACACGGCCCAGACUCCUACGGGAGGCAGCAGUGGGGAAUUUUGGACAAUGGGCGGAAGCCUGAUCCAGCCAUGCCGCGUGAGUGAAGAAGGCCUCGGUUGUAAAGCUCUUUCGGUCGGGGAAGGAAAGUUAGCACGGGUUAAUACCCUGUGUAGAUGACGGUACCCGAAUAAGAAGACACCGGCUAACUACGUGCCAGCAGCCGCGGUAAU